rnacentral:rRNA from 1 species
UUGGUUGCUUCCUUGGGGCGGCGACGAGGACGUGGUGAUGCGGGCGCAGCCGCAGCGGAAGAAGUCGGCGGUGCGCAUGCGCUCGAGCAGCGUGGUC